UGGAUGGUGCAUGCUAUCAUGAGCCCCGUUUUACAGACAAGGAAACUGAGACUUGGAGAAAGACCGAGGUUGCUCAAGGCCAAUGAAAACCUUGACUUGCUCAGCAAAUAUUGAGAACCAGAGCCUUGAGGCCCACCAGGCUGAAGGCCCCUGUUCUCUGACUAGGACCCAGAUAAUUCCUACCUCUAUACCUGGGCCAGUGCUGUUCCCUGUGCCUGAAAG